rnacentral:tRNA from 1 species
AAAGGUUUAGUUAAAUUAUAACAUUAGUAUGUCAAUCUAAAAUUAUUAAAUAUAAUAACCUUUU